UUCGACCUGAACUCAGACGUGAUUACCCGCUGA
rnacentral:rRNA from 1 species